rnacentral:rRNA from 1 species
GACGAACGCUGGCGGCGUGCUUAACACAUGCAAGUCGAACGAAGUGGCUACCGGGUGAGUAACGCGUAAUCAACCUGCCCUUCCGAGGGGGACAACAGUUGGAAACGACUGCUAAUACCGCAUACUGAAGGAGGGGAUUGCAUCUGCUUCGCUAGUUGGAGGGGUACCGGCCCAACAAGGUGAUGCUCAGUAGCCGGUCUGAGAGGAUGAACGGCCACAUUGGGACUGAGACACGGCCCAGACGCCUACGUGAGGCAGCAGUGGGGAAGCUUCCGCAAUGGACGAAAGUCUGACGGAGCAACGCCGCGUGAGUGAUGACGGCCUUCGGGUUGUAAAGCUCUGUUAAUCGGGACGCGGUACCGGAAUAGAAAGCCACGGCUAACGACGUGCCAGCAGCCGCGGUAAUAC